UACGUAGGGGGCAAGCGUUAUCCGGAUUUACUGGGUGUAAAGGGAGCGUAGACGGCAGUGCAAGUCUGGAGUGAAAGGCGGGGGCUCAACCCCCGGACUGCUCUGGAAACUGUACGGCUGGAGUGCAGGAGAGGUAAGUGGAAUUCCUAGUGUAGCGGUGAAAUGCGUAGAUAUUAGGAGGAACACCAGUGGCGCAGGCGGCUUACUGGACUGUAACUGACGUUGAGGCUCGAAAGCGUGGGGAGCAAACAGG
rnacentral:rRNA from 1 species